rnacentral:rRNA from 1 species
UUCGCAAUGCCCGAAAGGGUGACGAAGCGACGCCGCGUGUGGGAAGAAGGCCUUCGGGUUGUAAACCACUGUCGGGAGUUAAGAAAUGCAAGGAUAUUAAUAGUGUCUUUGUUUGACUAAGGCUCCGGAGGAAGCCACGGCUAACUCUGUGCCAGCAGCCGCGGUAAUACAGAGGCGGCAAGCGUUGUUCGGAAUUAUUGGGCGUAAAGAGCACGUAGGCGGCUAUGUAAGUCGGUUGUGAAAGCCUUCCGCUCAACGGAAGAACAGCAUCCGAUACUACAUGGCUUGAGUGUGGGAGGGGAGAGUGGAACUUCUGGUGGAGCGGUGAAAUGCGUACAUAUCAGAAGGAACACCGGCGGCCAAGGCGACUCUCUGGUCCUUAACUGAUCCUGAGUGUGCGAAAGCUAGGGGAGCCUACGGGAUUAGAUACCCCGGUAGUCCUACCCGUAAACGAUGGGCACUAAGUAGAGGGGUUUU